CAUAAAUUUAAAUUAGGGGUUUCAGAUUAAGUGCUAAUGAACAUUUGUUGGGCGAGCCAGGAUGAUUUCAACUGCUGAAAUCUAGAGUCUGGUGUUCUUUUUGCUGUUUGCUGUGUAUGGCGUCACCCUGGGAUGAGAACGCUUUUGGUGUCAUUGUGCCAAGAUCUAAGAUGUUGAGAACUCUCAAAGGCACCCAGGAAAAGAAAAAAAAAGAAGACUGUGGAUACCUAAGAGUAUAAGAUGAGAGGGGGUGGAAGAAUGACUGCAGAGAGAUGAGGGAGGUGGGAAGUCAACUGGAGGCCAAGAGAAUAGGAGAAGAAAAGGAGGAGGAGGCAAGUGAGAGGAGAGGAGUUACAUAAGCUCUAGGUGGCAGGUUGCCAUUGGUUGGAGACUGGAAGCAACAACUUUGAACUGAGACCUGGCUAGACCACCAUGGCUUUCCCUACUUCCUGUGUGUUGUGUUCGGUACAGCUGUGUGGACAAGUGUUUUUGGCUCUGAAAAAGUUAAAUAAGUGUGUAUAUAAUGUAAAUAUUGGAAAUAUAUUUUUAAAA